rnacentral:lncRNA from 1 species
UCCAGAGCAAGAGUUGUGUGUUUGACAUGAGUAUUUGGCAUUGUGCAACUUUGUCAAGCUUCAGAAAAGAAUGAGAAGUUGGAAAGUAGAAGGGAAAAUGCAUCAUAAAACAUAUACUGACAUGGAUGCAGUCUGGUCUCCCGACCAAGAGAAUUAUACACUUUGAGAAAUGGGUAUGAAGCACUGAGUGGCUCCUAGAAUUCAUGACAGCAGGACUUGGGAGAAUCCAGUGCUGUGGGGCUCUGGCUUCUAAUUCUCUGUUAUACAUGAUGGCUGAUAAAAAUAGUCCUGAAACUGGCAGA